GCCAGUGACAUUUGCACAGCUCGUUUCCUCGGGUCUCCGUAAUCCCUUCAGAAUAUUAAGGCCGCGUUCCUUUCUCUUUGGUUACAUUAACUUCAAUUUUCCUUAUGACUAGGUCCCAGGAAGCCCCAGGAAGCCGAGCAGCAGCAGCAGCGGCCGCCCCCCUCUCUCCGCCCCUCCUCCACCCUUCAGGGCCCGCCCACCUGGGGGAAGCGCCUCUCCUCCCGCCGCAGCUCCCUCCCAGGCACGCUGCUGUCACACUCUCCAGGAGCUCUGAUGAAAUUCCACCUGGAUUAAGCCGGAAUGAACUUUCCAGUCUAUCUCUCUUCUCAUUUCGUCUUCUGGGUCAGCAGCUCGGGUCAGAACUCUGCUUGGAGGAAAAUGGAAGUUUCUAGAAGCAGGUAUAUCCAGCCUGCGGCCUGUGCCUGCGUGCAGCACAACACAAAAUUGUGAAGUUACUCAAAACAUAAGAAAAAGAAAAAGAAAUCUUCGUAACUCCAUUGCAUAGUUCUCAGCCUGAACUUCCUAUGUCAUGGCCAUGUCAAAAGGCUGGCCAUGCUUGGCACAGAGGAAAAAAUCUCUUCACGGAACCAACAUGGCCCAGGCAGAAAGUCCCCACUGUGGCAUCCUGGUCUCCGAAUCCGGUCUCUCCUCUAGGUCCAGAGAAGUCCUUGCCUCGUGUGGUAGCCUCAGACUGGAGACUCCCCAUGUCUCUCCACCCACCUCCACCCUCCCUGCCUGGCCACCAGUCUGUAGUUUGCUAGGCUCCCAAUGCUCCCUUCAGAGGUCAGAGUUCUAUUAGCUUUGCUAUGGCCGUGAUAGAACACCAAGAGCACUAGAGAAUGUGUAUUUGGGGCUUGGGGAAUUGGGGUCCAUAACACUAGGUCCGCUUUCCAACAGGCACAGGUAGGGCAGCUGGAGCGGGAGCUUGAGGGCUCACACCUCCAUCAAGAAGCAAAGAGAGCACACUACUAACGGUCCGAAGGUCCGAAGUUCUCGAGUUCUUGAGACUCCAUCCUUAGUGACACAGCUCCUUCAGCAAGGCCACACCUCCUAAUCCUCUCCAAACAGCUAUCAACUGGGGAUCGAUCUGCAAACGUGAGCCUAUGGGGGGUCUUUCUUAUUGUAACCACCACUGCUGGGUUGUUUUCGAGAGUAACUGCACUGCCCUGUUUGGACCUCUCUCUCUGUCUCUCUGCUUUCUACCUCUGCCUCCUAUUGCUCUGCCUCUCUGUCUUCUCUAUCAUCUCUGGAUGCCUUUCUUGAUCUAUCUUUGUAUAGAUCUUUGUAUCUCUCUGUCUCUCCAUCUCUCUCUCUCCCUUUCUCUAUUACACUGAUCUGUGUCUGUCCUCUCUCCACCCCCCCCACUUCUCUCACACCAUGUGACUAGAGAAAGGACACACACACCACACACACACACACACACACACACACACACGCACACUGUGGAUACUUGCUGUUGCAUGAGUGUGCACCAUUUGAACCCCUAAAUAUUGCUUAUAGAAGGCAGUAAUUUGCCCUAUGCUAUGAUUAACAUAAAUUGACAGCCUGGCAGGAUAGAGGGUCACCAGGGAAUAAACCCUCUGGGCAUACCUGUGAGGGAGUUUCUAGACUGGCUUAACUGACCUGGAAGGCUCACCCUGGAUGUAGGUGCCACCAUGCCAAGGAGUGUGGUCCUGGACUGAAUAAAAGGGGGAAGGGCACCAGCCUUCAUCUGUCUCUUCUUCCUGUGGAGGAUGGAUACAAUGUGACCCAUCACCUCACACCCUGCCACUGUAACUUCGUCACCAUGAUAGACUGUACCCAUUGGAGCUGGGAGCUGAAACAAAUGUUCCCUCCCUCAAGUUCCUUCUUGUCAGGUGCUAUGUCACAGUGACAGUGGAGUAUCUGUCCAUGCUCUGUCCCCGUGAUUAGUCUGAAGGGCUCUCUGUGGUUUUUCUUUUUUUUUUUUUUUUUUUUUCGGAGCUGGGGACCGAACCCAGGGCCUUGCGCUCGCUAGGCAAGCGCUCUACCGCUGAGCUAAAUCCCCAACCCCUUGGCUCUCUGUGGUUUUAACAGAAAGGUUAAAGCUCUUCCAAUAACCACGGCCCUGAGAGGCUCCUGUUGCUGCCCCACAGGUAUGCUGCUGCACAGAUGACUGGAUGUUUGUUCUGCUUCCUUGUUCCUUACGCACAUAGAGUUUUGCUGUGUUCAUAGUUUCUGUGCUUGUGUUUCUCACUCCAUAAUGACUCUUGGAAACUUCAUUUAGUCAUAGGCAUGAUCCAGGGGACACAAGACCUUAGUGAUCUUUGGACCUCAUUCAGUUUGUCUGCUUUGAUACAGAGUCUCCUGAAGUGGAAACUUCUGGUUUCUUUGGAAAGUCAGUUAUGUCAGUUCUAACACUUUGCUGGGGCACACAGGUGAAAGGAUAUCUUGCUAAACCAGACAUGUGAAAGGACUCUUGAUGAAGGAAUAUAAAUGUGGCCCCACAGACAGUGGGAGACUAGUACUGAGCAUUGAUUUGGUUUGCUCCGCCUUCCUAUUCUUCAGCUAUGCCUCGGAUGAGAGAAGCUCGCCCAAGAACUGCUGGGAAGUUCCUCCACAGCCUCACCUCGGGCUGGCUGGCAAACCUUGCAGUUCCUUCAGAACUGAACUACAGCUGCUGCCUCUUGCCUGGUGUCGGACUGCUGGAGACUGAUCUGUAUGCCGUCUGCUGGUCUUAUGUCAACUUGACACAAGCUAGGUUUAUCUGAAAGGAGGGAACCUCGAUUGAGAAAAUGAGUCCAUAAGAUCCAGCUGUAGGGCAUUUUCUUAAUUACUGAUUGAUGAAGGAGGGCUCAGCCCAUAUGGGUAGAGCCAUCCCUGGGCUGGUGCUCCUGGGUUCUAUAAGAAGCAGACUGAGCAAGCCACGGGGAGCAAGCCAGUCAGCAGCACUCCUCCAUGGCUUCUGCAUCAGCUCCUGCCUCCAGGUUCCUGCCCUGUUUGGGUUCCUGUCCUGAAUUCCUUCAACCGGGAACAGUGCUGUGGACCUGUAAACCAAUAAGCCCUUUCCUCCCCAAGUUUCUUUGGUCAUGGUGUUUCAUUGUAGCAAUGGUAACCCUAAGAGACUGUUCAUUCAUUUCUAUGCUGUGAGCUGACCACUUUGCCUGCCUGCCUUUUUAAGUUUUAUUUGUUUGUUAGCGUACUUGUUUUUUUAUACAGGGUAUCUGGCCCAGCCUACCGUAGAACUCCAAAAGUAUCCAAGAACUGACCUUAAACUUCAGAUCUUCCUGCCGUUUACUCCCAAGGUCUGUGCCAGUCCUGCUUCUCUCCCUGGCACCAGGAAGGAUACUGCCUCAGGUCCCCCAAAGCAAAAGGCAGCUCUCAGAGCAUCCUCCACUGGCUAGCAUGGUCAGAACCCAAGCCCAGCCCAGCCUACUCCUCUGACAGCUCCAACUCAAUUGAUUCCCAGGAAGCUUCGCUGCACCUCCCUCACAGCCCAAGAUGCCAAAUGCUGCCAGCUGUCGUGGGGCAGGAGGAGUGUUUGAUCUGUUAUCCCCAAAUGCCACAGCAAAAGUUAAGUUCAGUCUCCGCUGUCUGACUGACUUCUCCUUAUCCCAGCCUUGGCUCCAGUGCCAGGCAUCAAAGACAAAGGAGCUCACCCCUGCCUGGCACCCAAGUGCAGGGCUUCAGUUGGUAUCGAAAUCACAAGCCGCCGCUCACACAGCCUGAGAAAGACAUGGGAAAUAAUUUAUUCACACUGGGAAUGCUUCGCUGGGAUGCAGCCACUGAAGGGAAAUAGAUGCGUGGUUUAAGAAGUAUUUAAGGAAUAGAAUUCCAAUGUGAGCGGGGGGGGGGGGGGGGGGAGAAGCAAGAUACAAUGUGGCUGCAAGUUUGUAAAAAUAAACAAGAAUAAAAAGGCAGAAAA